CUUCGACGGCUCCCCCCACAAGGGUUAGGCCACCGGCUUCGGGUGUUACCAACUUUCGUGACUUGACGGGCGGUGUGUACAAGGCCCGGGAACGUAUUCACCGCAGCGUUGCUGAUCUGCGAUUACUAGCGACUCCGACUUCAUGGGGUCGAGUUGCAGACCCCAAUCCGAACUGAGACCGGCUUUUUGGGAUUAGCUCCACCUCACAGUAUCGCAACCCAUUGUACCGGCCAUUGUAGCAUGCGUGAAGCCCAAGACAUAAGGGGCAUGAUGAUUUGACGUCGUCCUCACCUUCCUCCGAGUUGACCCCGGCAGUCUCCCAUGAGUCCCCACCAUUACGUGCUGGCAACAUGGAACGAGGGUUGCGCUCGUUGCGGGACUUAACCCAACAUCUCACGACACGAGCUGACGACAACCAUGCACCACCUGUGAACCCGCCCCAAAGGGGAAACCGUAUCUCUACGGCGAUCGAGAACAUGUCAAGCCUUGGUAAGGUUCUUCGCGUUGCAUCGAAUUAAUCCGCAUGCUCCGCCGCUUGUGCGGGCCCCCGUCAAUUCCUUUGAGUUUUAGCCUUGCGGCCGUACUCCCCAGGCGGGGCACUUAAUGCGUUAGCUGCGGCGCGGAAACCGUGGAAUGGUCCCCACACCUAGUGCCCAACGUUUACGGCAUGGACUACCAGGGUAUCUAAUCCUGUUCGCUCCCCAUGCUUUCGCUCCUCAGCGUCAGUUACAGCCCAGAGACCUGCCUUCGCCAUCGGUGUUCCUCCUGAUAUCUGCGCAUUCCACCGCUACACCAGGAAUUCCAGUCUCCCCUACUGCACUCUAGUCUGCCCGUACCCACCGCAGAUCCGGGGUUAAGCCCCGGACUUUCACGACAGACGCGACAAACCGCCUACGAGCUCUUUACGCCCAAUAAUUCCGGAUAACGCUCGCACCCUACGUAUUACCGCGGGCUGCUGGCACGUAGUUUAAGCCGGGUGCUUCUUCUGCAGGUACCGUCACUUUCCCUUCUUCC
rnacentral:rRNA from 1 species